rnacentral:lncRNA from 1 species
UAUCCUCUGUGACAUCCUACGAUCGAGAGCAUUUAGAAAUUAACCACUAAUAAUGUAUGUCUUAAAUUCUCAACACUUUGAGAAUAUACAUAAUCAUCAUUGUUAAUUUUUAAGAUAAAUCAUGAAUACAUACAAUAAGAUUGAUAAUAAAAAUGAUCCGACGAGUAUAAAAACAUGCCCUAGAGAAAUAUAUGCAUCAGUCAAGAUUGGUUUCUAGGGUACACAUCUAACACAGAUAUUGAAUC